rnacentral:rRNA from 1 species
UACGAAGGGGGCUAGCGUUGCUCGGAAUCACUGGGCGUAAAGAGCGCGCAGGCGGCUUGGCAAGUCGGGUGUGAAAUCCCGGGGCUCAACCCCGGGACUGCAUUCGAUACUGUCAGGCUAGAGGUAGGUAGGGGAGAUCGGAAUUCCUGGUGUAGCGGUGAAAUGCGCAGAUAUCAGGAGGAACACCGGUGGCGAAGGCGGAUCUCUGGGCCUUACCUGACGCUCAGGCGCGAAAGCUAGGAGAGCGAACAGG